rnacentral:lncRNA from 1 species
AAGCGAACGUAAGCAGAGAAAAAUGUCCCACUGAUGACGCGGGACGCCGGAGCGGAAGGGAGGGCCCACCAUGUCAGCGCCGCCGCCGCCGCCGUUUCUGUCCUAUUCUGCUCUUCCUGCCGAUCUGUGCGCCGCCUCUUCUUCAUCCCGUCCCUAGCAGCCGAUCCCAACUCCCGAUCUUCGGUUCGUUUGAGGUAUGACUCUGUAUUCGCCUGUUGGGGGUAUAAUCAAUUUGGGGGCUGGCUCCUUUUUUAAGCGUUUCUGAUUGAGAUGACGGAGGUGCAAAAUACUCCAGCAUAAUUGGUUCCUUGCUUAUGGAGUAUUUGUUAAUGUUGUAGUACUAUGUGAACAUCGAAUUCCAGGCUGUAACUUUUGCUGCAUCGGGCAAAUGGUUUUGAUUUGCUCGAUAGAACUGUCAGUUUAGGAACCACUAGGCGUCGUUACAUACUGUACGCUCGCAAGUUUCAUGGUAUUAUUAGUAAAGUGCUCCUUACAAAUUUAUUUUUAGUUUGGCAUGAGUAUUACUUCUAAUUCGUUGAUUUGUUCUAGGUUAAUUUGCUAUUUGUUUCAGAAUUUCCUACUCAUCCGUAGUGUUUUAGUUUAAUUUGGUUGCGCUUCUACAUUAGCUUAUUUGCAUGCUCAGCGAUUUAGAAGAAAAUAAACUCGGACACCUCUCUCUUCGGUGAGAUCUUAGUCUAACUUAACAUGGAAGUUAAGAUUUAAUAAGGUGUUUGGUUUGAGGAAAGGGCUAGUCCAUUAUCUACUUACUUCUCACUUUUUGUUUGGUUUGUAGAAUGGAAUGAUUUGAUCCAUCAUCAUCUUAUUCCUCAGAGUUAGUACUGAUAUAAAGAAUGAGUUCAUUUCAUCAAAUUUGAGGAAUGGAAUCAUAAUGCACCACCUCAUUUUGGAUGAAUUGAUCCAUCAAACCAAACACCUCCUAACUGUCAGCAUUGGUUACUGCGAUCAGGGUAAUCCUAAGGUUAUUUUUAAGCUAAUCCUAAGGUUAUUUUUAAGCUGGUCUCGGUCCCAUAGGGUGUAUAUAAAUAAAAAAGAUGAUUUCGAGAAUAAGGCUAAUUAUUCAACAUAUAAAUCUAUCUAACUGAUUAAUUAAGUGUUGAAAGAGUUUAAGGGACUCUCAAACCGGCUCCGGCUCCUGUAGGAGCCCUCCCAGAUGGUCUAAAAAAAGAUCUCUCAACAAAGAGCACUGAGUAAUCAGAGCUAUUAUUUUAUAGAGAGGAGUGAGCCAAAGGGGGGGGGGGGCUCCUAUCCUAGUGCCUCCUACCCCACUCUCCCAUCUUGCAUUUCUCUCACGCCAAAAUGAGCCGUUUUACUAGACGAUUUGUUAAGAAAACACUACCUCCUAUAUAGGAAUUGCUCUUCAAGAGAAGUCAAAGCGAAGUCAUUUUUAGUAGAGCCGGA